UAAAUUGCAUAAAAAUCUUAAAUAGAAUAAUAUAGGAAUGAAAUGAUUAAUUUCUAUUUUAAGUUUCAAUGUAAUUUCGAGAACAAGUUCAUCUUUAGUAUUAUUACAAAUGUAUAAAAUUCUCUUCUGCGCAUUGGAUGCUCUUGAUUUUAUGGUCCGACGAUGCCACAACUUUGCGAAUGUUGCAGCUUUUAGACACUUUGCGCGUUAUUAACGGUUUGCCGCGAAUCACGAACCGUGCUAUAUUUGUGUAUACAUCGAGCACCGCCUCUAACGGUAAACGGCCGAGUAAAUUCUAGGGUGGGCGAUAAUUAAACACUGUAGCUAUAUAUUGUCGGGUCAACCGCAUUUUCCUCCACCUUGUGCACGUUGGAUUAUCAACUAAUAACUAAGAUCCAUUGCGACAUCCUCUACCGCCUUCGGCCAUCUUUGAAAUUCAUACCUAGUCUAAUCGAAUUACGUUCUAUGCCAAUUUCCAUGUUAGAUUUCUAAUGAAUUUGUUUUUAGAAUGUCUACCAUCUUAAUUCUAUCGAUUAAUGAUUGCGAUAUAAAACGAGUGUGUAUAACGAGAUAUUGAUACCUAACAAGUCGAAAAACUUUUUCGAGAAUUUCGAGUAAUCGAUAUUUUCAACGAUAUUCGAUAUGCCAUUGAAUCUUCGCGGGGCAGAUCACAUGCUUAUCCGCGAAUACAUAUUGGCGCUCGCGUCGACGUAAUAAAUUAUUCAUACAGUUUGUGAAGCGAAUCUUUUAUUCGACUUUAAUUUAUAAUAUAACGGCUGAUUGUUGUACCGUUGCUCCAUCGAAUAUUAGUUAAAAGAAACGGCUGUUUAAAGGUGAGGAAAAUAUUACUAUUUUCUCUGGAUCAAUGCCAAGUGAUAAUACAAUUUUCUAUUGAAUCAGUCGAUUAUUUGAUAGUGAUAGGUUAUGGUACGAAUGAUGAUAAUUUGGAAGCAUAUUUAAUAUGUUUGGAAUAUUAUUCUUAAUUAAAAUCAUCCUGCGGAAAGAGUUCUCACGAAAAUAAAGAUAAACGGAUAUUCUGGACCAUCGUAUUAUCAAGAGAUAUAUUUGUGUCUUUACGAUUUCCGCGUUUCUGUUUAUGGAAGAAAGGUUUUAUCUGGUUGAAUCGUCCUCACGAUUCCGACGGACGCAGCGCGUGCGAUGCAUUUUUAAGAUUUUGGAAAGAUGUGUACAAAAACGAUCAAAAUAGUGAUUAAUUGAAAAAAAAGGAAUAUUGCUAAAAUUUUCUUUUAAGAAUGUAAUUUAUUUCGCGUUACAUUAUAAAAGGAUAUCAAAAGGAUUAAAAUCAGCAUAAAAAAGUAUAAAUAUUUUUAAUGAAAAAUGUACACAAUUUCUGAAUAUCCAACUAAAUAAACAAUUCACUUGAAAAGAAGAUCCAUUUUCCAUUUAAUCGGCUAAUUGAACUCGGAAAGGUUAAUACCCAACUAAAUAAACAUUAGAUACAAGCGAAUCGAGAUCAAGAAGCAAAAAAGAGGCGAAACUAAGCCGAGGAUACGGUGAAACUGCAUUUAGCCACGACAUUGAAAGAAGCGGGAGCAGCAGCAUUCCGCAGGGCAUAACUUAAGCGAGCCCUGAGCUCACGAAGGGAAGAGACGGGUCACGACGCCAUGUGUGCGGCCUACCAACCACACCCACCACCUAUUUAUUUAUGUCUACCUCACGGCUUUUUGUUCGUACCUUCGAGCUUUCAUUGCACCGUGAACAACGCGAACAAUCGAGGAGAGCCGCCUGCUCUACCGGAAAAAUCUUCUUCCCGAAGGAAUCGUCCUUCGAGCAAGCCCGUUUCGAAUUAUUUGUAAAACGGUGCUCGCAGAGAAUGCUCUUGCUAUCUUGGAAAAUAGAAUACUACGGGAUGAAUAAUGUGGACAUCAGGCGCGGGCAUAAAGUCGAUCUUCCGUUUCCGGCGAAGACACGGAGGCCGUUGCCAUGAUUUUUCCCUUCGAGAGCAUGGUUGGCCGGGGUCAGGUUCUAUCGAAGGCUCCGGUUGAACGUUUUCUAAGGCCGUGUGCAACGCCGUUCAUGACUUAACACGGUGCUUGGGUUCGGCUGUGCUUUGGCGGUUCAGGCCUACUCGGGACAAUGCCGCAUUGUUUCAUCGUCGUAGCUAUCUAGUCGGCACGGUAGCGGUCCCGAACGAUGUUUAUUAUCCUCUUGCGCAACAAAACAAAAUGCCCCCGGUGUUAUAUUAUCCUCUGGUUCGUGGUCGAAUCAGUUUCCCAUAUAAAAUCCACGUAAAACGCCGCUGACUCCAUCGUAACUUCGAUCCAGCCACGACGAGAGAGGUUGUUCCGCGCUAUCGGGGUGUCCUUGGUGCCAUCGAGCAUUUGCAGGAUUCCUUGGAAAAUCCGGAUAGAUGGAUAGAUGGUCCAUUGCAGAACUGGAAAAUUUAAAAUACAUAUUAGAGAAAUUAAAUAUUUAUACAAGAGAAUAUUAUUUGAAGAUAAUGGAUGCUAUAUGAAAAAGUUUUGAGAGGAUGAAAGGUUUGUCUUUUGAAAAUUAUUUAAUGUGGAGUUGAGGAAAAUAUUAAAAAAUUGAAUUAUUUCUAUAAAUAAUUCAAAAAGUAUCAACUAUUAAUUGCAAAAUCCAAAAUGUAUUUAUUUAGAAAAUCUGUUCUAAUAUUGAAAUGAUAUAAUAUCAUUGACUUUAACAGUAAAUUAUAUACAUAUAUAUAGAUAUUGUUGAUAUUUAUCUAUUUUUCUUUUAUCUUUCUUUUUUCAGUGAACAAUUAAACUAUCUUCGUGAUAAGAGAAUCAAAUAUAAUUUUCCACAACUGGUAAUUAUAGCAUUUGAGAAACUUUGUUUCACCUUCUGAAAGAAAAUCUUACAUGCAACUUUUCACAAUCCUUAACGCAAGAGAUUUCAAAGAUUACUUUCAAACUAAGAAACCUUGAAAAAUUUACAAAUUAACAAUACAAAGGAACAAUAUCCUUCCUGCAACAGUUUCAUCUUUCAUCGUAGUAGUCCUUGAAAAAAAAAUCCAACACAUAGAUCCGUAUACUAAUAAAUACAACUAUCAUCAAUGAUAAACAGUUAAUAAAUAAUUUCUAAUUAGCCUGUUGCGGUGUUUUCGCUAUUAGCAUACUAACUAAUUAAUUGAGGAAACUCUAUUAUAUCUCACGCAUCCUAACUGCAUCGUACAAGGCCUCCGUUGACCAGUCGAUGAAAAAAAAAAGGAAAAAUCAAGCUUGGAAGGAAAAACAAAAGGAGACAGAGACGAGAGCGGGUGGAAAAAGACAAACAAAGAAGAAAAGAAAAGAAAAAAAGAAUUAGAAAAGCUUUAGUGCCCAUUGUCCGAGCCGGUGAAAGCGAGCCGUUUCCAGAUUUGAUCUCCGAUUAGCCUUGGCACGAUUCGAUGGAAAUCAACGGAGAACGAGCGUGUGCGUUCUCUCUUUUUCCCGUUUUAUCUCGCCACCACGAAAAACAUCUAGCAAAACACGAUCGAGGAUGGUGUGGCAAAAGACGGUAGUAGUAGCGCGAUGGCCCCCGCGGUUUUCUUAUUUCCAUGAAAAUCGCCCGCUCCGAUCCCGACGACAAUGCCAUUCCGGUGUUUUAAAUGCAAAUCCGCGAAAGGAAAAACCGUAAGGGCAUUAUAAUUUAUAUUACUACAUGUGGCAGCGCCACUUCCGGCGAGAGAGCAUAGGCGCAGUUCCGGUCAGCUCGGCCUGGAGAUCCUACAUCGCCAGAUUAUGAGCCCAUGCCGCUUUUACAAUGGAUCGUCUGCCCUGACUCAUACGUCAGCGGGAAUAAUUUUCGUUGGCAUACGCGUGUGUAUGGAUCUAUACACGUAAGCAACGUCGUCGUAGAUGGGGCUGAAAGGAAAAGAAAAAAAAAAAAAAUAUCGUACGAUCUCUGACAGGGUAAAAGUUCCUGGCACGUGUUCGAUGUACUCGAUAGAUUCCUCGAGCCACGACCUCGACGAUCGAUGCCGAGAAUUUUCCGUGGCUUUGUUGUGGAAUCGUGGAUGGGUUAUAAUUAUCUCAAUUUUUGACUUUUUUGUGAUUUGUAAAUAUUCAAUUUUAUUCUUUUUUUGUAAAUACAGCAUGUUUAGUAAUAAGAU